UGAAAGGCAAACCUGUUGAAAGGCAGGGACGCAAAGCUAAGGUAUCUGCAGCGUUUUAUGAACGUAUGAUUGACCGGCCG
rnacentral:ncRNA from 1 species